rnacentral:rRNA from 1 species
CCUACGGGAGGCAGCAGUGAGGAAUAUUGGUCAAUGGGCGAGAGCCUGAACCAGCCAAGUCGCGUGAGGGAAGAAUGGUCUAUGGCCUGUAAACCUCUUUUGCCAGGGAAGAAUAAAAGGUACGUGUACCUUCUUGCCAGUACCUGACGAAUAAGCAUCGGCUAACUCCGUGCCAGCAGCCGCGGUAAUACGGGGGAUGCGAGCGUUAUCCGGAUUUAUUGGGUUUAAAGGGCGCGUAGGCGGGACGUCAAGUCAGCGGUAAAAGACUGCAGCUAAACUGUAGCACGCCGUUGAAACUGGCGCCCUCGAGACGAGACGAGGGAGGCGGAACAAGUGAAGUAGCGGUGAAAUGCAUAGAUAUCACUUGGAACCCCGAUAGCGAAGGCAGCUUCCCAGGCUCGUUCUGACGCUGAUGCGCGAGAGC